GAUGAACGCUAGCGACAGGCCUAACACAUGCAAGUCGAGGGGCAGCGGUUUGGUAGCUUGCUACCGAAGCCGGCGACCGGCGCACGGGUGAGUAACGGGUAUGCAAUCUGUCCGUAAGCGCGGGAUAGCCCACUGAAAGGUGGAUUAAAACCGCAUGUGUCCCCGGGAGGCAUCUCCUGGUGAUGAAACGUAUGGUUUACGGGUGAGCAUGCUUCUGAUUGGUUAGUUGGCGGGGUAACGGCCCACCAAGGCGACGAUCAGUAGGGGUCCUGAGAGGGAGAUCCCCCACAUUGGAACUGAGACACGGUCCAAACUCCUACGGGAGGCAGCAGUGAGGAAUAUUGGUCAAUGGGCGAGAGCCUGAACCAGCCAAGUCGCGUGAAGGAUGAAGGUUCUAUGGAUUGUAAACUUCUUUUGUCCGAGGGUAAAGUGAGCCACGUGUGGUUUAUUGCAAGUAUCGGACGAAUAAGCAUCGGCUAACUCCGUGCCAGCCGCCGCGGUAA
rnacentral:rRNA from 1 species